rnacentral:rRNA from 1 species
CGCAACGCGUAUAGAAUCUGCCCCUUACCGGGGAAUAGCCCAGGGAAACUUGGAUUAAUGCCCCAUGGUAUAUGUAGACGGCAUCGUUUUCAUAUUAAAGGUUACGGUAAGGGAUGACUAUGCGUCCCAUUAGUUAGUUGGUAAGGUAACGGCUUACCAAGGCAGCGAUGGGUAGGGGCCCUGAGAGGGGGAUCCCCCACACUGGUACUGAGACACGGACCAGACUCCUACGGGAGGCAGCAGUGAGGAAUAUUGGACAAUGGGCGAAAGCCUGAUCCAGCCAUGCCGCGUGCAGGAAGACGGCCCUAUGGGUUGUAAACUGCUUUUGUACGGGAAGAAACCCGCCCACGUGUGGGCGAUUGACGGUACCGUAAGAAUAAGGACCGGCUAACUCCGUGCCAGCAGCCGCGGUAAUACGGAGGGUCCGAGCGUUAUCCGGAAUUAUUGGGUUUAAAGGGUCCGUAGGCGGGCCGUUAAGUCAGGGGUGAAAUGCUGCGGCUCAACCGUAGCACUGCCUUUGAUACUGGCGGUCUUGAGUUAUGGUGAAGUUGCCGGAAUAUGUGGUGUAGCGGUGAAAUGCAUAGAGAUCACAUAGAACACCGAUUGCGAAGGCAGGUGACUAACCAUAUACUGACGCUGAUGGACGAAAGCGUGGGGAGCGAACGGGAUUAGAUACCCCGGUAGUCCACGCCGUAAACGAUGGAUACUAGCUGUCCGGUACCUUGAGUACUGGGCGGCCAAGCGAAAGUGAUAAGUAUCCCACCUGGGGAGUACGUUCGCAAGAAUGAAACUCA